UUACGGUCACAUCACGUUGAGAUGACGGUUCCCGUACGAUCACUGACGUUAAGCAAAGUCGAGCCCGGUUACUAUCUAGAUGGGUGACUGCUUGGGAAUAACACGU